rnacentral:rRNA from 1 species
CAAUAGCGUAUAUUAAAGUUGUUGCAGUUAAAAAGCUCGUAGUUGGAUUUCCGGCGUGAGGGAUCAGUCUGACUUCUAGUCAGUACUUGGUCCUCUCAUGCCGUCCUUGAAUGGUGCAUCCUGGCAUUAAGUUGUCGGGGUGAGAGCCGUUCAUCGUUUACUGUGAGAAAAUUAGAGUGUUCAAAGCAGGCUUAUGCCGUUGAAUAUAUUAGCAUGGAAUAAUAAGAUAGGACUUUGGUACUAUUUUGUUGGUUUGAGAACCAAGGUAAUGAUCAAUAGGGACAGUUGGGGGUAUUCGUAUUCAGUUGUCAGAGGUGAAAUUCUCCGAUUUGUUAAAGACUAACUUAUGCGAAAGCAUUUGCCAAGGAUGUUUUCAUUAAUCAAGAACGAAAGUUAGGGGAUCAAAGACGAUUAGAUACCAU